rnacentral:rRNA from 1 species
UGCGGAAGGAUCAUUACUAGAGCAAAGGAUAGACAGCGCCCGCGGAGCUCGCUCCCGGGGCUACCCUACUCCCGUAGGGUUUAGAGUCGUCGGGCCUUUCGGAGAAGCUCGGUCCUGAACUCCACCCUUGAAUAAACUACCUUUGUUGCUUUGGCGGGCCGCCUCGUGCCAGCGGCUUCGGCUGUUGAGUGCCCGCCAGAGGACCCCAACUCUUGUUUUUAGUGAUGUCUGAGUACUAUAUAAUAGUUAAAACUUUCAACAACGGAUCUCUUGGUUCUGGCAUCGAUGAAGAACGCAGCGAAAUGCGAUAAGUAAUGUGAAUUGCAGAAUUCAGUGAAUCAUCGAAUCUUUGAACGCACAUUGCGCCCUCUGGUAUUCCGGGGGGCAUGCCUGUUCGAGCGUCAUUAUAACCACUCAAGCUCUCGCUUGGUAUUGGGGUUCGCGGUUUCGCGGCCCCUAAAAUCAGUGGCGGUGCCUGUCGGCUCUACGCGUAGUAAUACUCCUCGCGAUUGAGUCCGGUAGGUCUACUUGCCAGCAACCCCUAAUUUUUUUUAAGGU